rnacentral:lncRNA from 1 species
AAUAAACUGCUUUAUUUUGCGCUUUAUUUAAGUCUGACGGGAGCUGUAAUGGCAUUUGUGCUGGUCCUUAUUUCAGGCAUAGCUGAAGAGGCAAACCUCCCAGCUGGACCUGUAUAUCCCUUUCCACAACAGAUUCAUGCUGUAAUGCUCUGAGACUAGUUCCUUCCUCUUUUUACCUCCUCAUCUGCAGCUUUUGUACUUCCUUGUCCCUUAAAUAAUUAACAAGAAGAGGUUUGUCCUUUUAAAGGUUCCUGUCACGGAUACUUGCCUAUAAGAAGGUCUUAGAAAUGGACCUUUCUUAAAACACACUGAUAUCACUUGGAUUCAUCAUAUUUUUGGGGCAGUUUUAACAUGGCAACUGCAGAAGUCACAGACACUUGAGUAAAUGGUAUUCCUCACAGGUAUGAAACACACAUCUGGUAACUUUCCUGUCGGUACCUGUCAGUACCAUGGCUACAACCAAAGGAAAAGAAGGACCUUUCAGAUGGGAAGGAAUGCCAAUUUGUCCCUGGUGGAGCCAGCAGUGUCUGCCAGCUCUCUGCUCAGCACAGGAAUAGCCAGAGGGCUGGGAUGGAUGCGUUGGUAAUGCAACACGUGGACUGUUUGUUUGGAGAACUCAAACGAAAGCAGGCAGUAUGAUCAAGAUAAAGCUUUUAAUGAUGUUUGUCUUAUUAUAGUUAUGAAUGCUGUCUAUUGAUUCUCCUCCUCAUUUACCCAAAUUGCUAAGUUGUUUUCAACUUCUUCCUACAAUUAACAUGAAUGAAGCUGACUGUUGCCUGGCUAAAAACCUUUGCUACUCAAUCGUGAUUCAUUAACAGCUGUCAUGAACAGUGGUCAGGCACAGGAGAGAGGCCUAAAAUUUAAACCAUACAUAGAAAUUAAAGGAUUGACUGAAUGCCUUAGAAAAGACUUGUUUAUUUUAGAAUUUAGUUGGUGCAAAACCUGAUGACCUAUGACAACAGAACAGGGGUUGGGAGUAAUUUGAACAACAAAAUGGAGUGCAGAAUUGUUCUACUGUGCCAGCCUGAGUUCCUGCCAUUUUAUUGUUCUAAAAAUUGCUGCUUCAUUUCUUCAGCACAGCUAUUCCUAGAGAGCAUAUGAGGAAGAAUACACAGGAGUUUUAGCCGUUUUCCAUUUACAUUUUUCUUAUUGACUUGGAAAAAAUAAUCACUAAAAAUUUUCAGCCAUACAAAGGCCUGUCCUGGAUCAGCAAUAAAGUGGCCAGCAGAAGCA